UAGCUCAGUGGUAGUGUGCAUGUCUAGCAAGUAUGAGGCCCUGGGUUCAAUCCCCAG
rnacentral:tRNA from 1 species